rnacentral:rRNA from 1 species
UAGGGAAUCUUCGGCAAUGGGGGGAACCCUGACCGAGCAACGCCGCGUGAGUGAAGAAGGUUUUCGGAUCGUAAAGCUCUGUUGUUAAGGAAGAACGAGUGUGAGAAUGGAAAGUUCAUACUGUGACGGUACUUAACCAGAAAGGGACGGCUAACUACGUGCCAGCAGCCGCGGUAAUACGUAGGUCCCGAGCGUUGUCCGGAUUUAUUGGGCGUAAAGCGAGCGCAGGCGGUUAGAUAAGUCUGAAGUUAAAGGCAGUGGCUCAACCAUUGUAGGCUUUGGAAACUGUUUAACUUGAGUGCAGAAGGGGAGAGGGGAAUUCCAUGGGUAGCGGUGAAAUGCGUAGAUAUAUGGAGGAACACCGGUGGCGAAAGCGGCUCUCUGGUCUGUAACUGACGCUGAGGCUCGAAAGCGUGGGGAGCGAACAGG